AGAGAGAGAGAGAGAGAGAGAGAGAGAGAGAGAGAGAGAGAGAGAGCGAGCAAAACUUUUCAUCCUGUUUGAAAUUUUUGUGAUUUAGUUUUUUUUUUAAACGUCACUCAGCAGAACACACAACUCUUCCAAAGCCAAGCAAUCCUACAUGUUUGUUAUGAAAAAAUGUAGCUCAGUUCAGGGAGAUGAUUUUCUGUGAAUAAUAAUGCUCUAUUACUUUUCUCUUUUUGUUACAGAGAAGAGCUAGAGAUUGUCGGGACUAUCCAAGAGCAUGUAGCUUUUUACCAAGGCACCGCAAUCUUAAAAGAGAAGCUUGAAACGAUCCUACGUCCUGCAGAGAAACUUCAGUGAUCAGUGUGAUGGAAACCAGAAGUACCACUUGAGCUGUCCAUCAAACAAGCUUUGCAGUAACUGCCAUGAUAUAAAAUCUAUAUUACUAAUCGUCUGUCUCACAGAACAAAUACUUUUUUUUCUAUUAAUGCAAAAUAAAAUAAAUGAAUCAGA